UCCUCGAUAGUAUAAGCUGGUUAAGUAUCCCCGUUUGUCAUGCGGGAGACCGGGGUUCAAUUCCCCGUCGGGGAG